rnacentral:rRNA from 1 species
GACAGAGGGGGCGAGCGUUUUCCGGAGUCACUGGGCGUAAAGCGCGCGCAGGCGGCAACCUAAGUGUCGUGUGAAAGCCCCCGGCUCAACCGGGGGAGGCCAUGGCAAACUGGGUCGCUCGAGCUGCGGAGAGGCCCCUCGAAUUGCAGGCGUAGCGGUGAAAUGCGUAGAGAUCGGCAGGAAGACCAAGGGGGAAGCCAGGGGGCUGGCCGGAGGCCGACGCUGAGGCGCGACAGCGUGGGGAGCAAACCGG